GACCUAUUAGAUCACCACCAAAAAGGAGGAAGACCUAAUGUCCUGGAAUAAUGUCCUGGAAGAUGCUAAACACGCUCUACUGAGCUACAGGGCUAAAUGCAUCAACAGACCCUGAAGUAAAUUCCAGAUCCCAAUGUUAUCAGAUGCAUGUGGGACUCCGUCCAAAGUUUUCUUCCAGAAAGACACCCUAUUAAAUUUCCUGAAUAAGGCUAGCCAAACUUACAAUUUUUUCUUUAUUUCUUUUAAGAUAGAAAGAUAGAAGGUAGUAUGGUGGUGAAAGAGGCAUUGUGUUUCUAUCUAAAGGAAAAAUCUUCUGGAUGAGGUGACCUAGAUGGACAUGGAGCUCCUGAAUAUGGAAUUGCUGUUCAUAACAGCAGUUAGUACUGAAUGAAGGCUAUCCAACUCCUCUCCCCUGGGGAGUUUACAGACAGUGGCAGAUUGAAAGUCUUGGUGUGGGUUCAAGACGGGUUUCUUGAAUGUCGCCUGAAUUUGGUCUCUCAGAAGAGGACAUCACCAUACACAGGCAUGUCAAGCUGAUGAAACCACAACACAUUCCAAAAUCAGACAGCACCCGUAGAAAGUUGUGCAAAUGUUUCCAGGCCACAUACAUAAGCCUUAGGAAUACUAAGAAAAACAAAGUUGGUCAUUAAGCUCUGCUGGUUGAAUAAACAUGGCCACUGGAGCAUUUCA